rnacentral:rRNA from 1 species
GUGAGGAAUCUUCCACAAUGGGCGAAAGCCUGAUGGAGCAACGCCGCGUGCAGGAUGAAGGCCUUCGGGUUGUAAACUGCUUUUAUAAGUGAAGAAUAUGACGGUAACUUAUGAAUAAGCACCGGCUAACUACGUGCCAGCAGCCGCGGUCAUACGUAGGGUGCAAGCAUUAUCCGGAGUGACUGGGCGUAAAGAGUUGCGUAGGUGGUUUGUUAAGUGAAUAGUGAAACCUGGAGGCUCAACCUCUCAGACUAUUAUUCAAACUGGCAAACUCGAGAAUGGUAGAGGUAACUGGAAUUUCUUGUGUAGGAGUGAAAUCCGUAGAUAUAAGAAGGAACACCAAUGGCGUAGGCAGGUUACUGGACCAUUUCUGACACUGAGGCACGAAAGCGUGGGGAGCGAACCGGAUUAGAAACCCUGGUAGUCC